CAGGAAGACUCAAUUAUACUGGACAUAAAGAGCUUCUUGAAAGGGCAUGAAAAACACAACACUGGAUGUAUGCCUGGGGACAGAAGUGACAGGCAGGAGGGGGAAAUAAAGAAGAAGACAGGAAAGACAGCAGCUUCAUAUCAGUGACG